AUCCAACUGACGAGUCCUAAAUAGGACGAAGCGACACGCGUCCUGUAU
rnacentral:hammerhead_ribozyme from 1 species